GCUUCCAUGGCCAAGUUGGUAAGGCGCCACACUAGUAAUGUGGAGAUCAUCAGUUCGAGUCUGGUUGGAAGCA
rnacentral:tRNA from 1 species